GCCAGUGGGGGCCGUUGCCCUCGGGUCUCCGUCCGGGGCGCCCUUUCCUUCUGCCCAGUGGCUUGGCGCGUCCGGGUCACAUCUGUGCUCUCGCAGAGCGGACCUCUGGGCCUCUUCUGCCCGCGACCCGAGCCCCGAUGGGGCCCUGGCCUGGGGUCUCCAGCCGCCUUCCCAGGGUCUGUCCCGGGCUUCUCCAGCGCCCACCGUGCCGCGAUCUUAUGUUGCCACAGCGACGGCUUCAUUUCUCUUUGCCUCUUUCAAGCAACCAUACCGCCAGGUCUCCCCCCCCGAGUCUGCUGCUUGUAGGGCCAGGUCCCGGGCUCCGAGCGGACUCUCGCCCCGUCCCAGCCUCCUCUUCCUGCCCGGGUUUCCCAGAGAGGGCUUCCGGCUCAUCUGUGACUUGCUUGCCGUGCAGCUGCCAGGCUGCAGCUCCAGGGCCUCAGGGGCGAAGGUGGUCUCUCCAGUUUCUUGCCGGUGGAGCACCAUCCUCACCGAGCUGCACAGCGGAGCUCUUCAUUGCUGGGGCCGGAGAAGGGAGCAGAGGAGGCCCCCAGCUGCCUUUCAUCGCUCCAGCGUGGAGAGACACGAGGUGCUUCUGCUGGGCCGCACUGGCCAGUUAGUCCUGUGCUCACCUAACAGCCGGGGUCUGCAGGGGCCGAUCAGCUCCCGGAAGAAGAGAGCUGGGCAUAGCGAGCACUUGAAGUGUCCACCACAAUGGCCCCAGACAUUUUGUUGACUCAAAUCUCCCGGAGCCCCUGGCCCUGGCUGUGGGAUGGACCCACAUCCCUGUACGCAUCCUGUCCUCCCCUUUCACGAGAUGGGCAGGAGUGGGCUGCAGAAACGCAGGCUGGCUGCCGUCCCGCCCUUUCCCCCUGCCAGGACUGGGUGCUCCUUCGGGAAUGAGGAAGCCCUCGGGCUGGGCUCAGAAUGGAGAGUCCAGCGUCAUCCCAAGACGCUGUCAGCCCCUGCCCAGGGCCGUCUGCUGGAGACGAGUCCCUCCCCUUGCUGUGCUGCGGGCGGCUUCCCCAGGCUCCCCAGUCCUGGGCCAGGCUGAAGCCCCGGGAGUGUGAGCAGACUGGCUCUCAGGGCUGCCCGCUUGGGGCGUCCUCAGCCUCUGUCUGUCUGCAGCACGCAGAGCUUUGGCCGUCGGCUGCAGUGCAGCCAGGGGCCUGAGUUACCUCAUCUCGUCCACACUCGCGUGGCCAAAGCCUGUCGCAGACAAAACACCAAUAAAUGCCCGGGCCCGGGAAACAGGGCUGAGGAGUGGGAAGCAAGCUUGUUC